rnacentral:lncRNA from 1 species
AGGAGCACACACGAUCGGGCAGGCGCAGUGCCAGAAUUUCAGGGACAGGAUCUACAACGAGACCAACAUCGAUUCCGCCUUCGCGACGCAACGCCAGGCCAACUGCCCACGGCCGACGGGCAGCGGCGACAGCAACCUGGCGCCGCUGGACACGACGACGCCCAACGCCUUCGACAACGCCUACUACAGCAACCUGCUGUCCAACAAGGGGCUCCUGCACUCCGACCAGGUGCUCUUCAACGGCGGCAGCGCGGACAACACGGUCAGGAACUUCGCGUCCAACGCGGCGGCGUUCAGCAGCGCCUUCACGACGGCCAUGGUGAAGAUGGGGAACAUCUCGCCGCUGACCGGGACGCAGGGGCAGAUCAGGCUCAGCUGCUCCAAGGUGAACUCCUAAUUAAGGAGUAGUAUGACGGGAUGCGUUCGUUGCUGGAAGCAAAUCGUGUCGACGACGACAUAAACGGGCCACACCACAUAUACCCAUAUAUGUAGUAUAACCACAAGUAUAGGUACGGUGGUGUUGUACUAGUACACGUAAAGUAUAUGGCAGCCAGCUCGCUCUAGCAAUCCAUCAAGUGUAUGGAGCAGAGCAGCCAUGGCAUUAGCACCUAGUAUACCAAAAUAAAAGCUCCUCAUGCGAAGGCAUGCAUGGAGGAUUAAUGAACUGUUACCUUCACACACAUGUCCGUUCACAACUUCUCCAGACUUUUACGGUACAUCAAGCUCCGUUUUUUCAAGUAAACAACACUAGAUUAUGUUUUUUCAUUAGAUAGAGAAAAAAUAAAUACAACCUGCCCCUAGGAGCGAAAAAAAGAAGAAGAAAAAGCCCGUCUUUACAAAUUAUAUACUGAUAGGUAAUAACUCUCUAAGUCAUUUUGUUCCUGCCAUAGUCCAAGUCUUCUUCCUCUAUUUUUGCUAGGAGGGUUAUUGUCGUGGUCUCCUUGUUAGAAAUUUUGUUGGUUCCUCUCCUUCCGUAUCUUCUAGACGACAAGGAGAAUUAGGGAGCGCAAUCCCCGCUUUGGCAUAAAUGUCGUGUUUGGCACACACAUUGAUAGGGGUGGCUAACAAGCCGACUCGGCUCGACUCGUAAAAACUCAUUAAGUUAAUGAGCUAGCUUGGCUCGACUCGUUAACAUAACGAGUUAAAAAUGGAACUCGACUCGACUCAUUAAAAAGUCCGAGUUGACUCAUUAAACGUGUUACACCAAAAAACAUGGUUUGAAAUUCAUAUGCAAUAUAAUUUGUGAUUCUAUGACAAAAAUUAUGAUUGGCGUGCUAUGUAUCAUGGCUCAUAAGAUUGUACUACAAUGUAUAAUUAUGAGUAUAUGACUUUUACACCUGUAAAAUAUGAACAAUUAACUUCUAUCUUAGUGUAUCAUGAGCUCAACGAGCUAAUCGAGUAACUCACGAGCUAGCUCGAGUUGGCUCGUUAAGUAAACGAGUAAAAGUUCAAACUCAUUAACUACUCGAGUUAAGUCGAGCCGAGCCGAGUUUUACACAAGUUGAGCUAGCUCGUAAGUUCGAUUUUUUUUCCACCCCUGCACAUCGAGCUCUGUUUCGCUAUUGAUGUUGGUUGACACGGUGAACUUUGACUCUUUGAGUAUCAAUUAUCAAACGGUGUACUCCUACCGUCUUACGUGCCAUUGCCAUCCCGCGCGGCCGCACCGUCCCAAACUCCCACCGACGCAAGCAAGCGCCGCCCUUCCGCUUGGGCCGUUUUACGCCCGAAUGGUCCGAGACCUACCUAUUGGGCCUUUGGACCGUGUGACGCCACAUUUCGCUCGCAGUGUCUGUCAGACCAGGGAUGGUGGCCCGUGGGCGCUGAGCAGGCCGGCCUUUCAUUUAGUUCGUGUCACCUGUAGGCGGCUAGGCCGGAGGGAAACUAACGUACACUUUUGUUGUUAUUUAUAACUUUAUCGACUAUAAAUUUUGAUAAGCAACAAAUCAAACAUGCCAUAAUCAAUUAGGCAAAAUUCAGUAAUUUACCUUAGCAAAAUUUAGUAAUGGAAAAAUUAGGAAAAACUAAAGUUAUAUUCCCUCCUCCUCAAAAAGAAUACAAUUUUAGAUUUUAAAUUUAUUCCAACAUAUAACGUACUCUAUAGUAUUGCUUUUUCGUCCAACCACCACUCAUUCACCCAUAUAUUACUAACCUAGCUACUCCACCAUUCCCAACUGUCCCUCAUUUGAUGAGUGGUCGAGUAUUUUUCCUAUACUAUACUAGUUUGUCUUUUAAAUAUUACAAUUGUAUUUUUCUUUUUUAGAAUUGAGGUAGUAAAUUUGUAAACAAAGUGAACAGGCCACCAACCUACUAGGUGGACCACUGUACACGAUAAUAUUAUUUGUGCUAUUGUGUUUAUUUUAAUCUAAGUUGCAAAUCAAGAGAGUAUUUUAUUUCAUUCAAAAAGGAAUAAUUUGUGAAACACUCAGCAACUGUAUAAUAUUAGCCGUGAAACUCGGUUAACCAUAAUUUUUUUUCAAAGGAACUAUACGAUAAUUUAAUUAUUUUACUAUCCGCAUUUUAUGGCUUAAGAAACAAGAGUAACAUACGGCACAUGCAACAACCACCAUUCUAGCUAGAGCUAGAAAUGUCGGCCCAACUUGUGAUAGCUAAUUACGUUCGAAUGGAAAAUCAUAUCACCAACAUGCAUGGUUUAAUCAUGGCAACGCUGAUGCGAAAGCUCUCGCAGAUCUAUUAUUUUUUCCCUGGAGAUUGAUCGAAAAUGAUGGCACAACGGUAUGUAAUGCUAUAACAGCAUAUAUUGUCUUGUAACACACCGUUUGCACUUAAAUUAGACAAUUAGUCCGAACGUACAUAAGAAGAUGAAUUGCGAUAGACCAUUCUAGCUCGUCACGAGCUGAAUAGUUCUCGCACUAUUAUACCCGAGAUCAAUUAGCAGAGUAUUAAUAAGGUAAAGUUAUUUUCAUAAACUCUGUACGACGAUAGUGCAUACAUACCAAUCUUUAACAAAGGGACAAAUUAUCGACGGCAUUUGUAUGUUCAUGUGCUAUUCUAUGGCACGGGUGCUCUUUUUUUUUGGCUUAAGCAACGCGUGAUUAAUGGUUAACAGAUUAAGGUCAAGCGAAAUGGACCGAACUGACCCUACAUUGCAUGAAUAAUGCAGAGGUGAUGAUGUUGGCCGUAGGCCGUACGUAGAAACUUAUGUUGGACACACAUGUAAGUACUAGUAGUCUAGUAGCACUAAUAAAGUUAACUAAUAAAUUAUAUAUGAUGUCACUUUAAAAAAUACAGAUUCAAAUUCGAUAUAUUGAAGUUGAACAAAUUAAAUUCUAGCUAGUUAGUAUGCACACAUUCACACUCAUAUUUGUUUUUGUGUUGUAAUUUAUAGAAGUUAAAAUUCAACUUGCAAUUUGUUAGUAAAAACAUAACUAUUUAGAUGACUAGAAACAUAUCCUUCUGUUGUAAUGUGCCAGGCUCAUAUAAGUAGAAAUAUGCUAUUAGAAAAUUAGAGAUAGUACUCUGUGCGUGGUGGGAGGAGGGAUGAAAAAAUGACGAGUUCGAUUUUAAGGUAGUAGAGAUAUGUACAAAGCAAUAGGAUAUUCCUAUUGAGAUUAAAAUACAUUCCCCUGCCCAGCUCCCCUCGUAUGAUUAAUGUACCUGCAUAUUUCGUCUCAUCUCGGCACCAAUCGAUGGCGUCAAGCCUGUAGCUAAGCUAGCUAUAUAAGAUGCAGCGUGGCACCAGCCUCUCUUGCAAGCCACGGCCAGCGAAAAAGCUUAAAAAAAACUGCAGUUAUUUAGGUAGGAUUAAGCAUACGCGCACGGCGCAUCAUAUCGCUCACUCUGCAUGGCUUCGGCUUCUUCUGUCAGCUUAAUGCUGCUCGUGGCUGCAGCUAUGGCCUCAGCCGCCUCGGCGCAGCUGUCGGCGACGUUCUACGACACGUCGUGCCCAAACGCAUUGUCCACCAUCAAGAGCGCAGUGACGGCCGCCGUGAACAGCGAGCCCCGAAUGGGAGCCUCGCUGGUCAGGCUGCACUUCCACGACUGCUUCGUCCAAGCAAGUUUUGAUCACCUAAUCUAAUCAGCUGUACAAGUAGUUCUCCUUAGACUGUACUUUGAGACAAGGAAAUUAAUAACAGAGGAUGUAUCUAUGGACUUCACUGAUGAUGCAGGGCUGUGACGCGUCUGUUCUGCUGUCCGGCCAGGAGCAGAAUGCAGGCCCGAACGCUGGGUCACUUCGGGGAUUCAACGUCGUCGACAACAUCAAGACGCAGGUCGAGGCCAUCUGCAGCCAGACCGUCUCCUGCGCCGACAUCCUCGCCGUCGCCGCCCGUGACUCCGUCGUCGCGGUAAGAUCACGGAUGAGAUUACUACAUGAUGCAUAUAUUUCUUGUAGACUGUAGUAGUACGUACUCCUAAUCGCUCUUGGUUUGGUUUGGAAUCCUUAUAUUUGCAGCUCGGAGGGCCGUCGUGGACGGUUCUAUUGGGAAGAAGGGACUCCACCACUGCGAACGAAAGCCAAGCAAAUACCGACCUCCCUGCCCCUUCCUCUAGCCUCGCUGAACUUAUCGGCAAUUUCUCCAGAAAGGGACUCGACGUAACCGACAUGGUUGCUCUCUCAGGUACAUAUAUAUGUACACAGAUUAUAUCAGUGAUUGAUUCUCUUACAAAUUUUCUGAUAAGAAUCAUAAUACGAUGAGAACUUGCAGGCGCACACACGAUCGGGCAGGCGCAGUGCCAGAACUUCAGGGACAGGCUCUACAACGAGACAAACAUCGACUCCAGCUUCGCGACGGCGCUCAAGGCCAACUGCCCACGGCCGACGGGCAGCGGCGACAGCAACCUGGCGCCGCUGGACACGACGACGCCCAACGCCUUCGACAGCGCCUACUACACCAACCUGCUGUCCAACAAGGGCCUCCUGCACUCCGACCAGGUGCUCUUCAACGGCGGCAGCACGGACAACACGGUCAGGAACUUCUCCUCCAACACGGCGGCGUUCAACAGCGCCUUCACGGCGGCCAUGGUGAAGAUGGGGAACAUCUCGCCCUUGACUGGAACCCAGGGGCAGAUCAGGCUCAACUGCUCCAAGGUUAACUAGCCGGUGAUGACGAGUACGUGAUGGUCUCAGGGAAUAAAGCUAGGCCCCGACAUUGCUGCCAAUAGCGUGCAGCUAGCUGUGGCCAUCUCAUCACUUUCAUGGUUCAAUGGUUUCAUCAGCAAGUGCACGGAACAGACUAGAGAGUGUAGGUGUAUGCAUGUGUGAUGUCAUGUAACGAGUUGCCAUGCAAAGGCAUGAGGAUUACGGACCUCUCUUUCGUCGUAAUCCUAGCAGCUACAGAUUUCAACUGUCGUGUUAACCAAGUGAAGUGCUAGUUUCGAAUGUAUUGGCCCCUCUCUGCUCUUCUCUGCUCUGGCGAUCUGGCCUCUGCGAUGGUUUCUUCUGGGGAAUAAGUUCAUCUAAGUUCCCUUAACUUGUCAACGAAUCCGAUUUUUAUCCUUCAACCACAAAACCAGAUACAAUUGGUCCCUCAACUAUCAAAACCGGUGCAUAUUAUGUCCCUCGGCGGUUUCGAUAGUGGUUUUGGCUGACGUGGCGCCUACGUGGCUAAUUUUGACUCGGUCUUGAUCUGACGUGGCACUGAUGUGGCGCUUACGUGGCAAUUCGAUCCGGAAAAUAAUAAACCCCGUGGGACCCACAUGUCAGUUUCACACACAAUAAUAAUAAUAAUGGUGGGACCCACGCGGACCCCACAUGUCAGUCUAAUUAACCCCUCCUCUUCUGCUUCCUCUCUCUCCUCCUCCCCUCUCUUCGUCUCUCUCUUGCGCUGGGUCAUUCUGAUUCUCCUCUUCCCCAUCUUCUCUGUCUUCAUCUCUCUCCCCUCUCCUCUCUCUCUUCUCUCCGGUUCACGGGCGGCGGGGAGAGGACGGUGUCCGGCUGGGAGAAGGGGCGCGGCGCGGCGGCUAGUGGGAGGGAAACUAGCGGAUAGAAGGGAACCAGCCCGGUGGCGGAGGCAGCGCCGCCGCGGCCGUGGCUGCGGACGACGUCGACGUCGACCUCGGCAUCCUCGGCGGCGGGAUGAACGUGUCCCGCCGACCGGCCGACACACGCGCGCAUCCUCGGAGGUGGCUGUCCACGUGGGCGGGUGAGGGGGCCACCUCGCCGGCGGGAGAGGGGAGAGGCGGCCGGCUGCGAAGACGACCCUAGUGAUGAUGACGACCGUGCGGCGCGCGGCGGAGGCCGAUCCCGUGAGCAGGAAGCUCUUCGUCCACGGCCUCGGCUGGGGCACCAGAGCCGACGACCUCCGCUCCGCGUUUAUAUGCCUAAUCAUACAAAGGUAGAAGAAAUAGCGACUAGUACUAGCUGACUGGAGUAUAUUUUGCUUCGUCAUCAUCAUUUGCUUGUGUUAUGACGGGGUUGAUGAAUGAAUAAAUGAUCAUUGUUUUGGGCAAGAAAACACCGUUCCGGCCGGACUGACGAGGAACCCAUAUCGAUCCGCUCGCCGCGGCCCAUGGAAACCCAACAGGAGAUGGCAACGCUACCUUCCGCCGUCGGCGACUACUAAUGGUGGGUGAUGCUCGAGCACAUUGAUGAACUCGAGGUCGACGACGAGGACUCCAACUACAACUCCUGCUCCGCCGCUGCCGACGACACCGCCAAUCCCGUGAGUCCAUGACGACCUCGCUCACCUCCAACGGCCACGUCGUAAGAGUCUACUUCCGCCUCAAAGCGCCCCCGGCGACGUCACACCUAUGCCUCUGGCAAUCACUCUUCUCCAUUUCCGCCGCCGUCGUCGUCGCCGGCCGCAUCCCCUAGUGCAAGAGAGAGAUGAAGAGAGGAGAGAAUGAGAGAGAGGAAGCAGAAGAGGAGGGGUGAGUAGACUGACAUGUGGGGCAGCGUGGGUUCCACCAUUAUUAUUAUUUUUUUUUGUGUGUGAAACUGACAUGUGGGUCCCAUGGGGUUUAUUAUUUUCCCGGGUCAGAUUGCCACGUAAGCGCCACGUCAUACCACGUCAGAUCGAGACCGAGUCAAAAUUAGCCACGCAGGCGCCACGUCAGCCAAAACCGCCAUCGAAACCGCCGAGGGACCUAAUAUGCACCGGUUUUGAUAGUUAAGGGACCCGUUGUAUCUGGUUUUGCGGUUGAAAGACGAAAAUCGGAUUCGUUGAUAAGUUAAGGGACCUUAGAUGAACUUAAGAAGUCCGCCUGGAGAGCUGAAAUGGGCUGCACCUUUUAGUGUCCCCGUGAUGUGGCCCAACUACGCCUAGUUAAUGGGCUACUGGUCUGGAAAGUGGAUUGUAGUCCGCUUGUGUACGCUGGAAUAAGUUCACUUUGCGUCCCGCAUCUUUGAUGGCAAGUUUGAAAAUUCGUUGCUGAACCGCAAUAUCAAGUAUAGCCUGUCCCCGAACUCGUAAAACCGUGUUAACUUUCGUUCUAAUAUAGUAUGGCUCCUGAUUUCGUCCGAUGUGGCGCUUUGACUCUGGUCAGUUGUGCUGAGUUAGCGUGGGACCCAUGCUAGCCCGUGUGUUAGUAACUAACUCUUUCCUCCUCUCUCCCGCUCUCUCCUCUCUUCCCAAUCCCCAACCAGGAAGCAGGUCGCAAGCAGCGUGGAUAAGGUUGGCAGCCGACGUCCAGCGGGUGUGUGGGGAGAAGGGCGGCCAAGCCCGAUGCGAUGCAAGGAGCCAUGUCCAAUUUGAGAAUGUAAUUCGAACUCAAUGUUAAGAGGACAGAUCCCCGGCUGUGUUCGGGAGGAGGGGUUGGGAACCCCUCCUCUCCGGCAGGUAUAACGAAACAAUCAUUAGUGUAUAACUAAUUAAGUAUUAAUUUAAAAAUUUUAAAAAAUAAAUUAAUAUGAUUUUUUUAAAAAAAACCUUCCUGUAGAAAACUUUUGAAAAGAACGUAUCGUUUAGUAGUUUGAAAAGCGUGCAUAUGAAAAAAAGAGGAAAAUGAGUUGAAAAAAAAAGGGAAUAAGUGGACUUAUUCCUGUGUACGCCUUAAAUCGCCAUGUGCAUGUGUAUAGCAGGGUUGUAUGGCGUCCAAAAAAACACGCACACGGAUAGUUUUGUUCGGUUUGGCAUAACAAUUUAUAGCAUGUUGACUGUUGACCUCAUCCUGUCAGUCGCUCGGUUCAUCAUUUCAACUGCUUGUGCAUCACCCAAAUAAUUCGACUGGCUAAGGUUUAUCAGAAAAUGUGUGUUCGUCUAUUUUUUCUGGUAGAAGAUUUACUUCGGAAAUAGUUGUGGUCCAAAUACUGUCCAAACUCUUUUCCAAACGAGUGAGAAGAGAAAUGGUGGCCAAAUGGAAGAUGAUCACGUACACCAAAAAAUAGUAAUCUUAUAGAUAUAUCAUCAACUAGUAGUGCACAAGCUCCCACGUUAAUUAAAAAUUUUGAUCAAUUUAUUGUCUACAUGCCCAAUUAAUUAAUGUUUGAAUCCUAAUACAUGCAUGGAAGAUAAAAUUAGAACCAGAUAAUAAAAGCAAUGAUGUACUCACUCCUUCCCAUGUUUAUCCAUCAUAUAAUGGAAUUUAAAAUUUCUUAAAUCGAUCAUCAUAUAACCGCAUGGACACAGAUUUUAUCAAAAUACAAUUAAUACAGCAUGAAAGAAUGUGUACAUGCUAAGAUGUAAUUGACAUGGUGUUUUAAUCGAUACAUACAUUAUGGGAGAAUGUGUGCAUGGUGUUUUGAUUAAUGUGAUUUAAAUUAUACUUGGUCCUCGUGCAUAAACAUAUAUGAUGAUCAAUUUAGGAAUGAGGAAGUAUUUAGUUUGUGUGUUUAUAUGAGCGUUUGCACGACUGUACUAUGUUUUUAAAAAAUACUGUUACCUUUCUACUCCCUACAUUCUCCCAUGAUGUAUUAAUUGUAUUCUGAUAAAAUUCGUGUCCAUGCAGUUAUAUGAUGAUCAACUUGAAAAAUUUUGGAUUCCAUUAUAUGAUGAUUAAAUUGGGAAAGAGAGAGUAUUAGCUUUUUCAAAUAAAUAUAGGGGGGGGUGGUUCAGCAAUUAAAAUGGGGCUAACCUACCUGUAAACUCUAAACAGAAAUCUGUGCCUAAAGUGAAAACCACUUAUGUCGGACAGGUAUAGAAACUAAAAGAUAAUUAAAAUUGUCAACAUCGGUUUAUCCAGCCAAGAGGAACUAGAAUGCAAAAUUACUUUACAGCAAUGCAGCUCUGGCGAAACGUUGACAGAUUUGGCCCUCUCCCACACGAAUGCUGCAUAUGUUGGCUUGUAGCAGCCAUCGUUUCUAGCAAAUCAAGUCUGGUGUUAUCAGACUUGGACACAUGCGUACUAGUAAUAUUAGGGAGUCCCUACAGAGAAGUAGAGAACGACCAAGAUUUUGCACUUUUGCUGGCAUAUGUGAAGACAUAACUCCCGAAUAUACUUGUUGGCUGUUUAUCUCCAAUGUAUCUACUAUCUAGCAAUAUGCAGGCUCAUUUUGCUGGGAGAAAAUCGCGAGCUAUAAAUAUGCAUGCAAUGCAGCGUUUUCUCUUGCAAGAGCUGCUUAGACAGGAGUAGUUGCUACGAGUACUUGCUAGGAAGAAACUGCAGUGUGCUCUGUUCCAAAGAGUAGUGAUGGCUUCUGCCUCUUCUCUUGGCCUAUUACUGAUGCUCGCGGCGCUGGUCUCCACGGCCACCGCGCAUUUGUCGCCGACGUUCUACGACACGUCGUGCCCCCGAGCCAUGUCCAUCAUCAAGAGCACCGUGACGGCCGCCGUGAACAACGAGCCACGCAUGGGCGCGUCUCUGCUCAGGCUGCACUUCCACGACUGCUUCGUCCAAGCACGUUUCCAUCUCACAAACCACCCUGUUUUUUUUUUUUACUUUGAUUUAAGGCCGAAAAGUAGCUAACAGGUUUGCCUGUCUGUCAGACUACGUGAGUUAGCAGCGUUGCAAGAAAAUAAUCGUGGCUUAAUUUUUGUCUGAAUCAACACAGGGCUGUGACGCCUCAAUUUUGCUGGCCGGAAACGAGAGGAAUGCAGCCCCAAACUUUUCUGUCAGAGGCUACGACGUCAUCGACAGCAUCAAGACGCAGAUCGAGGCCGUGUGCAAGCAGACCGUCUCCUGCGCCGACAUCCUCACCGUCGCCGCCCGCGACUCUGUCGUCGCGGUAACCAUGCAUGCAUAUAUCAACGACACAAGAUAUCGAGCUCGCGAUUACGAAUUCUGUGAUGCUGAAUUGCUUUAUUUGGUUUUUAAUUUGGCAUGCAGCUUGGAGGUCCGUCAUGGAGUGUUCCGCUAGGGAGAAGGGACUCCACCGGAGCCGCUACCGCGGCCCAGGUGAUUAGCAGCCUUGCUCCUUCUACAGAUAGCCUCGCACAGCUCAUCAGCGCGUACGCGAGCAAGGGACUUAGCGCCACUGACUUGGUUGCUCUCUCAGGUGCACACAAUAUAUAUAACUCCUCGAUCGAUCUCCUAAUCAACCAUGGAAGUGUAGUAAACAACAGCUUGUGUUGAAAUUUGAAAACGAUAUGUUUUUGUUUCAAUUAUGCAGGUGCGCACACGAUUGGUAUGGCACGGUGCAGGGGCUUCAGGACGAGGCUAUACAACGAGACCAACAUCGACGCCGCCUUUGCGGCGGCGCUCAAGGCCAACUGCCCGGCGACGCCGGGCAGCGGCGACGGCAACCUGGCGCCGCUGGACACGACGACGCCCACCGCGUUCGACAACGCCUACUACCGCAACCUGCUGUCGAACAAGGGGCUCCUGCACUCCGACCAGGAGCUGUUCAGCAACGGC